GUAUGCAUAACACCCUUACAGACUCCCACGGGUCAGCAGCUCCUAAUAGAAAUAUAACAGAGUGUUAAUUUUGUGAGUGACUCAAGCGGACCGGCGCACAGAAAAUCAGCAGGCGAACAAAAUUCGAGCGUAAACUAGAUGCGCCGCAUUGUCAAGCAUACACACGCACACAAACACGUGCAUGCGCAGCCUGAGAUAAGCCGUCAGCUGUGCGUGUGUGUGUUCGCUGUCCAUUUUUCGUCUUGCGCUCACGCGCUCACGACUCUUUCUCGCUGCUGAUCGCUGAUUGGUCCAAUCAAUAGCUGCUGGCAGCGAAGCUCUCGUCUGCUCGCCCGAGUGCUUUGUUUUAUGUGAGCGCCGCUUUUGUGGAUCUGCGCAACUUUAGUCUGAGUCAGUGUGGCUCUAUUAGGCAACAGGGCAUGUUGUUGUUAAGCUGCCAGCGCGUCAGUCUAUUAAGCCCGUUAUUAUUUUGUGAAUGCGAUGCAUAGAAAGAUAAGGCCCUAGCACGCAAAUACACAUACGUACGUGCAUAUUUGGCGAUUCCCUCUGCAUAGAUAUGCAUGUUUGGCCAAAUCUGCCAGGAACAAGAAAACCUUGUUUAUUUCAAACCCUGGAUGUACUCUAAACAAAAUCGUAUUUAAAUUUGGACCAAAUGGAAAAGUUGUUGCCAAUCUGUGCUGAUUAAAUCAACAUUUUAUAGACUUCUGUCGAUUUUAAAGUCUCACGAAUCCUUAAAGCCUAAUCUGCCGACGUUCAUGGAAAAUAUAUAGUCAACAAAUAAUUAUGUCGAUUUUAGAUCGAAGGAACCAGUUUCCGCUCAUUUAUUCCAUCUCCCAAUGUGGUACUGUGCUUUCUGGACGGGUUUUCUGAUCGAUCGCCUCCUGUUCGGUAUUCUUCUGGGCACGAUUAUCUAUGCUCAUCCUGCUGGUGGAUCAGCUAAUCUUUGCCAGCGGCGCCAUUAUCGACACCUUCUGGAUAAUGAUACUCGGCGAGUCGCUGGCCAUCGCCCAGGACAGCUACGCGGUGCUCUGGCUUAAGGGCAAGGAACGUUUUAAAGGACAUGGAGAUCAUUUGAUCAGCAAGUGAUCGCUACUCAUGGUACCUAGUUGACCAAUAUAUAUCCUUGGUUAUUGCAUAUCAUGGAUGUAGUCCUAGCGAACCUAAAGGACCAAGUUCUUGCAAAACAGGGUCCAUAAAUAUGUAUGCUCUUCUUUUACAGCCGCCCGCCGCAACAGUCCCGCUCCGUGAAUGGUUUCUAGUUGACUAGCAUAUCCUUGGUUAUGCCAUACCAUCGAUAUAGUCCUUUGGAACCUACAGGAUCAGAUCACUGCAAAAUGUGCAUUGAAAUGGUCCAAAAAUAUGUAUGCUUUCUCUUUCAGGAGCCCUUUUACAUUAGCUGCGGCUGCAGCUCUUGCUUAACAGCCGGCUUACAGCGCUCAUUUAACAUAAAAUGCUAAUUAACAGCACUCA